ACCAUAGCACCCUGAGCCUCUUUGGACAGC
rnacentral:piRNA from 1 species